GUGGGGAAUUUUGGACAAUGGGCGCAAGCCUGAUCCAGCAAUGCCGCGUGCAGGAAGAAGGCCUUCGGGUUGUAAACUGCUUUUGUACGGAACGAAACGGUCCUGGCUAAUAUCCGGGGCUAAUGACGGUACCGUAAGAAUAAGCACCGGCUAACUACGUGCCAGCAGCCGCGGUAAUACGUAGGGUGCGAGCGUUAAUCGGAAUUACUGGGCGUAAAGCGUGCGCAGGCGGUGCUGUAAGACAGGCGUGAAAUCCCCGGGCUCAACCUGGGAAUUGCGCUUGUGACUGCAGUGCUGGAGUGCGGCAGAGGGGGAUGGAAUUCCGCGUGUAGCAGUGAAAUGCGUAGAUAUGCGGAGGAACACCGAUGGCGAAGGCAAUCCCCUGGGCCUGCACUGACGCUCAUGCACGAAAGCGUGGGGAGCAAACAGGAUUAGAUACUCGGGUAGUCC
rnacentral:rRNA from 1 species